UGCAGUCGAACGGUGAAGCCCAGCUUGCUGGGUGGAUCAGUGGCGAACGGGUGAGUAACACGUGAGCAACCUGCCCCUGACUCUGGGAUAAGCGCUGGAAACGGCGUCUAAUACUGGAUAUGUGACGUGACCGCAUGGUCUGCGUCUGGAAAGAAUUUCGGUUGGGGAUGGGCUCGCGGCCUAUCAGCUUGUUGGUGAGGUAAUGGCUCACCAAGGCGUCGACGGGUAGCCGGCCUGAGAGGGUGACCGGCCACACUGGGACUGAGACACGGCCCAGACUCCUACGGGAGGCAGCAGUGGGGAAUAUUGCACAAUGGGCGCAAGCCUGAUGCAGCAACGCCGCGUGAGGGACGACGGCCUUCGGGUUGUAAACCUCUUUUAGCAGGGAAGAAGCGAAAGUGACGGUACCUGCAGAAAAAGCGCCGGCUAACUACGUGCCAGCAGCCGCGGUAAUACGUAGGGCGCAAGCGUUAUCCGGAAUUAUUGGGCGUAAAGAGCUCGUAGGCGGUUUGUCGCGUCUGCUGUGAAAUCCGGAGGCUCAACCUCCGGCCUGCAGUGGGUACGGGCAGACUAGAGUGCGGUAGGGGAGAUUGGAAUUCCUGGUGUAGCGGUGGAAUGCGCAGAUAUCAGGAGGAACACCGAUGGCGAAGGCAGAUCUCUGGGCCGUAACUGACGCUGAGGAGCGAAAGGGUGGGGAGCAAACAGGCUUAGAUACCCUGGUAGUCCACCCCGUAAACGUUGGGAACUAGUUGUGGGGUCCAUUCCACGGAUUCCGUGACGCAGCUAACGCAUUAAGUUCCCCGCCUGGGGAGUACGGCCGCAAGGCUAAAACUCAAAGGAAUUGACGGGGACCCGCACAAGCGGCGGAGCAUGCGGAUUAAUUCGAUGCAACGCGAAGAACCUUACCAAGGCUUGACAUAUACGAGAACGGGCCAGAAAUGGUCAACUCUUUGGACACUCGUAAACAGGUGGUGCAUGGUUGUCGUCAGCUCGUGUCGUGAGAUGUUGGGUUAAGUCCCGCAACGAGCGCAACCCUCGUUCUAUGUUG
rnacentral:rRNA from 1 species